AUGCAGUAUUACUCCACUGCUCAUUUCUAUCCAGAUGGAAGGAUAGGGUGGAUGUGUAAAGGUACAAGGUACCUAUCAACUGUUGAAGAAUGGCCCAGGUUGAUCAAUGCCCCAGAAGAGCAUGAGGAUGAUUUGGAUGUGUAUACCAACAAGAAGAAAGACCACAACUCUAUGGCUAAUAUGUACAAAGAGAUCCCAGAUAAAGCUUUGGAUACACACAAGUUUGGAUCUGUGCAUUAUUUGUUGUCCGGUCUAGCUACUACCAACACCAUCUUAAGGCAUACUCUGUUACCCAAAUCUAGAGAUCAUAAGAUGAUUAGAGGACAUUCCAUCAACUUGUUGCAGAUCUUUGAUGUACCACAAAAAUUCAAGGUAAUUUAA
rnacentral:rRNA from 1 species